CAGUAGCCGCGGGAAUACGUAGGUGGCAAGCGUUGUCCGGAAUUAUCGGGCGUAAAGGGCUCGCAGGCGGUUUCUUAAGUCUGAUGUGAAAGCCCCCGGCUCAACCGGGGAGGGUCAUUGGAAACUGGGAAACUUGAGUGCAGAAGAGGAGAGUGGAAUUCCACGUGUAGCGGUGAAAUGCGUAGAGAUGUGGAGGAACACCAGUGGCGAAGGCGACUCUCUGGUCUGUAACUGACGCUGAGGAGCGAAAGCGUGGGGAGCGAACAGGAUUAGAUACCCGGGUAGUCCCUGUCUCUUAUAC
rnacentral:rRNA from 1 species